CUCUGAUGGUUAGCGGCGGACGGGUGAGUAACACGUAGGCAACCUGCCUGCAAGAUUGGGACAACUACCGGAAACGGUAGCUAAUACCGRAUAAUUGUUUUCUUCUCCUGAAGAGAUCUGGAAAGACGGAGCAAUCUGUCACUUGGRGAUGGGCCUGCGGCGCAUUAGCUAGUUGGUGGGGUAACGGCUCACCAAGGCGACGAUGCGUAGCCGACCUGAGAGGGUGAUCGGCCACACUGGGACUGAGACACGGCCCAGACUCCUACGGGAGGCAGCAGUAGGGAAUCUUCCGCAAUGGGCGAAAGCCUGACGGAGCAACGCCGCGUGAGUGAUGAAGGUUUUCGGAUCGUAAAGCUCUGUUGCCGGGGAARAACGUUUGGGAGAGUAACUGCUCUCGGAGUGACGGUACCUGAGAAGAAAGCCCCGGCUAACUACGUGCCAGCAGCCGCGGUAAUACGUAGGGGGCAAGCGUUGUCCGGAAUUAUUGGGCGUAAAGCGCGCGCAGGCGGUYAUUUAAGUCUGGUGUUUAAUGCCGGGGCUCAACCCYGGAUCGCACUGGAAACUGGGUGACUUGAGUGCAGAAGAGGAGAGUGGAAUUCCACGUGUAGCGGUGAAAUGCGUAGAUAUGUGGAGRAACACCAGUGGCGAAGGCGACUCUCUGGGCUGUAACUGACGCUGAGGCGCGAA
rnacentral:rRNA from 1 species